UACAGAGGGGGCGAGCGUUGUUCGGAAUUACUGGGCGUAAAGGGCGCGUAGGCGGCCCGCUAAGUCGAACGUGAAAUCCCCAGGCUCAACCUGGGAACUGCGUCCGAUACUGGCAGGCUUGAAUCCGGGAGAGGGAUGUGGAAUUCCAGGUGUAGCGGUGAAAUGCGUAGAUAUCGGGAGGAACACCUAUGGCGAAGGCAGCUCGCUGGGACGUUACUGACGCUGAGACGCGAAAGCGUGGGGAGCAAACAGG
rnacentral:rRNA from 1 species